GCACCAGUGGUGUAGGGGUAUCAUGCAAAAUUCCCAUUCUUGUGACCUGUGUUCAAGUCCCAGCUGGUCA
rnacentral:tRNA from 1 species